rnacentral:rRNA from 1 species
CGUCAGAACGAACGACUGGCGGCAGGCCUAACACAUGCAAGUCGAGCGUGAAAGGGGCUUCGGCCCUGAGUAAAGCGGCGCACGGGUGAGUAACACGUGAAUAAUCUGCCCCCAUGACCGGGAUAACAGACCGAAAGGACUGCUAAUACCGGAUAAGCUUCCGCGCCAACCGGGCGUGCGGGGAAAAGGACGGGACCUUCGGGCCGUCCGCAUGAGGAUGAGUUCGCGUUCCAUUAGAUAGUUGGUGAGGUAAUGGCUCACCAAGUCGACGAUGGAUAGCUGGUCUAAGAGGAUGAUCAGCCACACUGGAACUGAGACACGGUCCAGACUCCUACGGGAGGCAGCAGUGGGGAAUCUUGCGCAAUGGAGGAAACUCUGACGCAGCCAUGCCGCGUGAAGUGAUGAAGGCCCUCGGGUUGUAAAGCUCUGUCUAAGGGGACGAAUGGCGCACGGAACAAGACAUCGUGCGAUUGACGGUACCCUUAAAGAAAACACCGGCUAACUCCGUGCCAGCCGCGGC